rnacentral:rRNA from 1 species
UACGUAGGGGUCGAGCGUUGUCCGGACUUACUGGGCGUAAAGCGUGGGUAGGUGGUCGGUGAUGUGCCGUGUGAAAGCCCCGCGUUCAUCGGGGGGAGGUCGCGGUAGACACAUCGACUUGAGGCAUACAGAGGGCCGUGGAAUUCCCGGUGUAGUGGUGAAAUGCGUAGAUAUCGGGAGGAACACCAGUGGCGCAAGCGGCGGCCUGGGUAUGACCUGACACUGAGCCACGACGGCGUGGGGAGCAAACGGGAUUAGAAC